rnacentral:lncRNA from 1 species
CUUUCCUGUGCUGUUCUCAAGACAGUAAGUCUCACAAGAUGUGAUGGUUAUUAUAAGGGGGAGUUUUCCUGCACAAGCUCUCUCUUUGCCGGCUGCCAUCCAUGUAAGAUGUGACUUGCUGCUCCUUGCCAUCUGCCAUGAUUGUGAAGUCUCUUCAGCCAUGUGGAGCCGAACUUCAUGAAAACCCAGUUAUCCAAAGAAUAGAAUAUUCAACUAUCUCUCCUGGAGAAUUACCACUUCUCACAACCAUAGACUACUCAACCAGGCUUGCCAAAUCUCAUUGCAAAAACCCCACUUCAGUGAAUCCUCCAGUGGCAAAUUUGACCCAGUUUCACACAGGCCUUCUUACUGAAUGGAUCACCUGAGAUCAAACCCUCAAGAUCUUGUGAAUAUCUUAUUCUUGAUCUUCCUGUUUCAAGAAACCACUAAGACUCUGUCAAUGUAGUUCACUAAUUUACUGCAGUAAGCAAUAAACCUGUCUUUAUUUAAUCAAUGAGUUAUUUUGGUAGUCUUACUGAAGAAAUGGUAGUAGACAUCCCCAUUACUUUAAAAAUUUUUUAGAUUAUUGUUUUACUUUCAAAGAAAUUUCUAUAAAAUAGAAGAGCAUAAAGAGCAUUAGCAUCACUGUUUUGUUACACUCAGCAGCUUGCCAUAUGGGAAAUAUACAUUAGAAGACAAUUAAGGGUAAAAAGAAACUUUUUCCUCACACAACACAAUUACAUAGUGUGAAAACAUUCAGGGAGUGUUUAUGAACUCAGUGGAUUCUGAAACAUAAGCUAAUUUUCGCAAGACAUAAGGAAUUUUAUGAGAAAAAUAUAAGCAGU